CCUACGGGUGGCAGCAGUGGGGAAUAUUGCACAAUGGGGGAAACCCUGAUGCAGCGACGCCGCGUGAGCGAUGAAGUAUUUCGGUAUGUAAAGCUCUAUCAGCAGGGAAGAAAAUGACGGUAACUGACUAAGAAGCCCCGGCUAACUACGUGCCAGCAGCCGCGGUAAUACGUAGGGGGCAAGCGUUAUCCGGAUUUACGGGGUGUAAAGGGAGCGUAGACGGCGAUGCAAGCCAGAUGUGAAAGCCCGGGGCUGAACCCGGGACUGCAUUUGGAACUGUAUAGCGGGAGUGUGGGAGAGGCAGGCGGAAUUCCUAGUGUAGCGGUGAAAUGCGUAGAUAUUAGGAGGAACACCAGUGGCGAAGGCGGCCUGCUGGACGAUGACUGACGUUGAGGCUCGAAAGCGUGGGGAGCAAACAGGAUUAGAUACCCGUGUAGUC
rnacentral:rRNA from 1 species